UAGAGUAUAGCCCAGUGGUAGAGCACAUGCUUAGCAUGCAUGAGGUCCUGAGUUCAACCCCCAACACUGCAG
rnacentral:tRNA from 1 species